rnacentral:tRNA from 1 species
GGCGCCAUGGCUUUGUUGGUUAAAGCGCCUGUCUAGUAAACAGGAGAUCCUGAGUUCGAAUCUCAGUGGUGCCU